GAAAGGCUUUCCCUUCUUAAUCACGAGAUCUGUUUAAGUGCCAUCUUCUUAGUAGUUGAGUUCCUUUUCGUCAUUCCAAGUAUUUUAUUUUCUUCUGUAAAGCUUUGGUCCCUAGUUAGGUUGUUUUUGUUCUGUCUAGGGAUUAGGUCGGCUGUACACGGUGAUGACCUUUCUGUAGAUAAGUAGAUUUCUUUUAGGUAGAUGAAUUUCUCAAUUAUUUCAAAUAAAAGAAAAGAAAGCAGAAAAGAAGAAUGUCAUAUACUGCAUGUCUCAAACUAUAAUUUGGCAUCUCCUUUGAAAUAUUUGAUUGAAAAAUUUCAGGAUCUUCUGCUGACUGAUUCUAGUCACAGACAAAAGAGAUAGAGGAAUCUAUGUCACUUAAUUGAAUACACACAGAUCGUUGUUUUGAAGCCUAGCGAGUGAACUGUUUCUUACUUGGGAU
rnacentral:lncRNA from 1 species